rfam:Gossypium hirsutum cultivar TM-1 chromosome 21, whole genome shotgun sequence
AACCCAUGGUGAGGGCACCUUCUUAAUAGAUCCUUGUAUCUCUCCUACGCAUCAUACAAGGUUUCUAGAUCCAUCGUCACAAAAGAAGAAAUAUCAUUCCUUAGUUU